AGUGAACGCUGGCGGUAGGCCUAACACAUGCAAGUCGAACGGCAGCACAGUAAGAGCUUGCUCUUACGGGUGGCGAGUGGCGGACGGGUGAGGAAUACAUCGGAAUCUACUUUUUCGUGGGGGAUAACGUAGGGAAACUUACGCUAAUACCGCAUACGACCUACGGGUGAAAGCAGGGGAUCUUCGGACCUUGCGCGAUUGAAUGAGCCGAUGUCGGAUUAGCUAGUUGGCGGGGUAAAGGCCCACCAAGGCGACGAUCCGUAGCUGGUCUGAGAGGAUGAUAAGCCACACUGGAACUGAGACACGGUCCAGACGCCUACGGGAGGCAGCAGUGGGGAAUAUUGGACAAUGGGCGCAAGCCUGAUCCAGCCAGACCGCGUGGGUGAAGAAGGCCUUCGGGUUGUAAAGCCCUUUUGUUGGGAAAGAAAAGCAGCAGGUUAAUACCCCGCUGUUCUGACGGUACCCAAAGAAUAAGCACCGGCUAACUUCGUG
rnacentral:rRNA from 1 species